rnacentral:rRNA from 1 species
UUCCGGUUGAUCCUGCCGGAGGUCAUUGCUAUUGGAGUCCGAUUUAGCCAUGCUAGUUGCACGAGUUCAGACUCGUAGCAGAUAGCUCAGUAACACGUGGCCAAACUACCCUAUGGAUCCGGGCAACCUCGGGAAACUGAGGCUAAUCCGGAAUACGACUCUCAGCCUGGAACUGGCGAGAGUCAGAAACGCUCCGGCGCCAUAGGAUGUGGCUGCGGCCGAUUAGGUAGACGGUGGGGUAACGGCCCACCGUGCCCAUAAUCGGUACGGGUUGUGAGAGCAAGAGCCCGGAGACGGUAGCUGAGACAAGAUACCGGGCCCUACGGGGCGCAGCAGGCGCGAAACCUUUACACUGCACGAAAGUGCGAUAAGGGGACUCCAAGUGCGAGGGCAUAUAGUCCUCGCUUUUCACUACCGUAAGGUGGUAGUAGAAUAAGUGCUGGGCAAGACCGGUGCCAGCCGCCGCGGUAAUACCGGCAGCACGAGUGAUGACCGCUCUUAUUGGGCCUAAAGCGUCCGUAGCUGGCCACGCAAGUCUAUCGGGAAAUCCGCGCGCUCAACGCGCGGGCGUCCGGUGGAAACUGUGUGGCUUGGGACCGGAAGAUCCAGAGGGUACGUCUGGGGUAGGAGUGAAAUCCCGUAAUCCUGGACGGACCACCGGUGGCGAAAGCGCUCUGGAAAGACGGAUCCGACGGUGAGGGACGAAAGCUCGGGUCACGAACCGGAUUAGAUACCCGGGUAGUCCGAGCUGUAAACGAUGUCUGCUAGGUGUGCCACAGGCUACGAGCCUGUGGUGUGCCGUAGGGAAGCCGUGAAGCAGACCGCCUGGGAAGUACGUCCGCAAGGAUGAAACUUAAAGGAAUUGGCGGGGGAGCACUACAACCGGAGGAGCCUGCGGUUUAAUUGGAUUCAACGCCGGA